rnacentral:rRNA from 1 species
GAUGAACGCUGGCGGCGUGCCUAAUACAUGCAAGUCGAGCGAACAGACGAGGAGCUUGCUCCUCUGACGUUAGCGGCGGAGGGGUGAGUAACACGUGGAUAACCUACCUAUAAGACUGGGAUAACUUCGGGAAACCGGCGCUAAUACCGGAUAAUAUAUUGAACCGCAUGGUUCAAUAGUGAAAGACGGUUUUGCUGUCACUUAUAGAUGGAUCCGCGCCGCAUUAGCUAGUUGGUACGGUAACGGCUUACCAAGGCAACGAUGCGUAGCCGACCUGAUAGGGUGGUCGGCCACACUGGAACUGAGACACGGUCCAGACUCCUACGGGAGGCAGCAGUAGGGAAUCUUCCGCAAUGGGCGAAAGCCUGACGGAGCAACGCCGCGUGAGUGAUGAAGGUCUUCGGAUCGUAAAACUCUGUUAUUAGGGAAGAACAAAUGUGUAAGUAACUAUGCACGUCUUGACGGUACCGAAUCAGAAAGCCACGGCUAACUACGUG